rnacentral:rRNA from 1 species
GACGAACGCUGGCGGCGUGCUUAACACAUGCAAGUCGAGCGGAAAGGCCCUGCUUUUGUGGGGUGCUCGAGUGGCGAACGGGUGAGUAACACGUGAGUAACCUGCCCUUGACUUUGGGAUAACUUCAGGAAACUGGGGCUAAUACCGGAUAGGAGCUCCUGCUGCAUGGUGGGGGUUGGAAAGUUUCGGCGGUUGGGGAUGGACUCGCGGCUUAUCAGCUUGUUGGUGGGGUAGUGGCUUACCAAGGCUUUGACGGGUAGCCGGCCUGAGAGGGUGACCGGCCACAUUGGGACUGAGAUACGGCCCAGACUCCUACGGAAGGCAGCAGUGGGGAAUAUUGCACAAUGGGCGGAAGCCUGAUGCAGCAACGCCGCGUGCGGGAUGACGGCCUUCGGGUUGUAAACCGCUUUCGCCUGUGACGAAGCGUGAGUGACGGUAAUGGGUAAAGAAGCACCGGCUAACUACGUG